ACUACUACUGCAGUACCCUUUUUGGCUCUUGUGUGGCUCUUGGGUUGCCAACCGGGAGGAUAUCCAUGCAAUUGAAAAUAACGGUUGCACGUGUGACCUAUUUUCUUGCAAUGAUCACAAUGCACCUGCUUCUUAUUCUUAUCACGAGCCUGUCUAUCAGCAGUGAGAGCAACCAAUGUAGCCCCCUCCGGUUGUAGGACAAAAACUCUUGCAACGGCUCAUUGCUUUUCACCAUGGAUAAGGAGUGAAUAUGCCUUAUUCACGAUCGGGAGGGGCUCCAUGUUGAGUAGCUAGUCAUGAAGGGAGUCAUAUAAUCUUCUAAGUCCGUAUAAGAAUUGAUGCAGACGUUGCUCUUCUCUCUCAGUCUAAAGUGCCUUCGCUGCUUCACACGAGCAUAUGGGAACUCUCAAGUAGACAGCAAGUUCUUCUCAUAAAGCAUGAAAUCAUGCAUAGUAGGAGGUGAUUGACAUAUUAUUGCCUUGCCGAAGGCUCUAGAUCUGAGUCUUCAAUUCUUGAUUGCGAGGGGCGUUGCCUUGGGAGUACCUCUCUUCAAGGUCAAGCCAGAUGGCCCUAACACUAUCC
rnacentral:lncRNA from 1 species